rnacentral:tRNA from 1 species
GCCGGAGUGGCGGAACUGGCAGACGCGCGGGACUCAAAAUCCCGUGGCCGCAAGGCCGUGCGGGUUCGACCCCCGCCUCCGGCACCA